rnacentral:lncRNA from 1 species
CAGGGCAGCAUAUGGGCUGCUGAAGGAGUUUAACUCCAUCUCUGCCAGACCCUGUUUGGGUAUUUCUGAAUGCACUUGGGUACUCUCAGGGGGUUGAACACAGAGGCAGCGUGGGCUGGAGAAGGCUGGCUGUCAAUUGGCAAGCUUCUACUGGGAGAAAAAGAUUACAAUCUGUGUAAAAGUUGCUGCAGAGGGAAUCUUAACCAAGGCAUCACAGGAAGCUCUGGGAAAUGCAGUUACUGGGGGAAGUUCUCAUCUGUCAACAAUUACAUGGAGACGAAGACAGCUGAUGUCUCCUUUUAGCCCGUGUGUGCCCGCCAGUAACGUGAUCGCAGUAAUGAGAAACCUUUUAAAGCAAAUAAUCCAUGUGGUUUUGAUAAGUAAACAACAAAUAAGCCAGCGAGAGGCUCCUUUGACUUUCAGGAAAGAAUAUUUGCAGUGUCCCUCUUGGACACGCGUGUUGCCCCCCUAUGAUCUGUGUGGAGUUAUAGGGAGGCCACCUCUCCCGGCCAUCUGCAGAGCUGGGCAUGGGUCUGGCUCCGUGGGCUGCUGGUGGUAAAUGGCUUACCAGGUGGUUUAUUGUCCAAUCAUAUAAGAAAGUUCUGAAGGAGCAACUGGAAUGAGCCUUCAAGCUGACCAUCCGACCUUCUUCCCAUGCAAACCAUGGUCCUCUGCUUCACCAAAGGAACAGCUGCGUUUGGAGCUUCUCUGACUUCACCUGGAGGGCCACAGUGCACUGGGGCUAUCGACUGGACUCUUCCUCUUGUCCUGGCACAGCUCAGUGGAUACCAGUCCCAGUCCUGCCUUUUUCACCAGGGCUCACCUGAAGGCUGCAGGAAGCUCGCAUCUGUCCACUGGAUUCUUCUUGUGGUGGUGCAGAGGCUCAGAGGACCCAGUCUCAGUCUUUCCCAUUUCCUCAGAGCUUGGGAAAGAAGAGGAGACAGUCAUGAAGAAGAAGAGAAUGAGAAAGCACUCCUGUCAGGUGACGUAAAGCUCGUGUUUGGUUACCAGGAGAAGUGAGUGUGUGAG